UACGGAGGGAGCUAGCGUUGUUCGGAAUUACUGGGCGUAAAGCGCACGUAGGCGGCUUUGUAAGUUAGAGGUGAAAGCCCGGAGCUCAACUCCGGAACUGCCUUUAAGACUGCAUCGCUUGAAUCCGGGAGAGGUGAGUGGAAUUCCGAGUGUAGAGGUGAAAUUCGUAGAUAUCGGGAGGAACACCAGUGGCGAAGGCGAGUCUCUGGACAUUUCCUGACGCUGAGGCACGAAAGCCAGGGGAGCAAACGGG
rnacentral:rRNA from 1 species